UGCUCACUUCACCAGCACAUAUAUAAAAUUGGAAUGAUACAGAGAAGAUUACCAUGGGGUUACGCAAGGAUAACACGCAAAUUCGUGAAGCAUUUCAUAUUUUA